rnacentral:rRNA from 1 species
GGACUACCAGGGUAUCUAAUCCUGUUUGCUCCCCACGCUUUCGCGCCUCAGCGUCAGUUUCAGUCCAGGUAGCCGCCUUCGCCACUGAUGUUCCUUCCGAUCUCUACGCAUUUCACCGCUACACCGGAAAUUCCGCUACCCUCUACUGUACUCCAGUCAUCUAGUCUAAAAUGCAAUUCCUAGGUUAAGCCCAGGGAUUUCACAUCUCACUUAAAUAACCGCCUACGCGCCCUUUACGCCCAGUAACUCCGAUUAACGCUCGCACCCUCUGUAUUACCGCGGCUGCUGGCAC